CGGGCUGUGGCUCAGCUUGGUAGAGCGCCUGCCUCGGGUGCAGGAGGUCCCGGGUUCGAAUCCCGGCAGCCCGACCA
rnacentral:tRNA from 1 species